AAACAAAUCAGUGUUACGUGAUGAUGAAGGUGCUCUUCCAAACGAUUAAAAAGUGAAAAUAUGAUAGCAAAUGCACCUAUAUGAUGCUGUCCUUCGAGGAGGUGUUCGCAUCUGGGGAGCUGUUCAAUUGUUGGUUGGAGCGAACCUGCAAGCAAUCCUGACAUGGAGCGAAAAAAACAUGAACGCUUCAGGCAACAAAUCAAUUAUGUUUUAUUACAAUUCUACGGAAACUUUGGAUAAUUUGCAAGAAUAAAUCUUUUAUAUACUGUC